rnacentral:rRNA from 1 species
CGAAGGGAGCAAUCCCUUAGUGGCGAACGGGUGAGUAAUGUGUCGCUAACGUGCCCCGGUACUCCGGGAUAGCCAUCCGAAAGGGUGGGUAAUACCGGGUAACAUACUUGGGAGGCAUCUCCCGAGUCUCAAAGGUCCGCCGGUCCGGGAGCGGGCGACAUCGUAUCAGCUAGUUGGUGAGGUAACGGCUCACCAAGGCGACGACGCGUAGCCGGACUGAGAGGUCGGCCGGCCACAUCGGGACUGAGACACUGCCCGGACUCCUACGGGGGGCUGCAGUAACGAAUCUUCCCCAAUGCACGAAAGUGUGAGGGAGCGACGCCGCGUGUGGGACGAAGUCCUUCGGGAUGUAAACCACUGUCAGGGGUUACCAAGUUCUGAGGAGCCCCAGAGGAAGUGGCGGCUAACUCUGUGCCAGCAGCCGCGGUAAGACAGAGGCCACGAGCGUUAGGCGGAAUCACUGGGCUUAAAGCGUGUGUAGGCGGACCGUUAAGUGCCCGCGUGAAAUCCCCCGGCUCAACCGGGGAACGGCCGGGCAUACUGGCGGUCUUGAGCGAUCCAGGGGUCAUCGGAACAAACGGUGGAGCGGUGAAAUGCGUAGAUAUCGUUUGGAACGCCGACGGUGAAAACAGAUGACUGGGGAUCCGCUGACGCUGAGACACGAAAGCCAGGGGAGCAAACGGGAUUAGAUACCCCGGUAGUCCUGGCCCUAAACGAUGUCGACUAGAUCGCGGGACCUCUGACGGUCUCGCGGUCGAAGCAAAAGUGCUAAGUCGACCGCCUGGGAAGUACGGUCGCAAGGCUAAAACUCGAAGGAAUUGACGGGGGCUCACACAAGCGGUGGAGCAUGUGGUUUAAUUCGAAGCAACGCGCAGAACCUUACCUGGGCUUGACAUGCCUG